CUCCCCUAAGUAAACGUGGGAGGGAAGAUCCUGGGGGCCUUAGAAAUAUCAGCUAAGAUCCCAAAUCUAGAAGAAUUUAAGCUACCAGAUUGUUUUAGCCAACACUCAACUGCCUGUAUACCAGAAGCUUUCUACUGAGCUUAGUAAGGUGGAUCGUUGCUCUGGCAUCCCCUGGGAAAACCUAAUCUUCUGGAAAGAUUAGUAUAUUUCUGGGUUGGAGAACUGCCUUGGAGGAGACACGCCUUUCCAUGAAGUACAGAGACCACCUGUCUGAGAUCCACUGGUCAGACAUCCAUUUGGUUAAGGUCUCUUGCAGCAAUUCCACAGCUCUCCAAAUUGAGAAGAAUCAGACUCCACCCAUUCUGGAACUUCAGAAAAGAGUCAGUUGGCAGAGCUCAUUGGGCCACAGAUUGAGCUGGAAAGGACCUCAGUGGUCAUUUAGUUCAGCCACCCAUAUUCUAGAAAUGGGAAGACUGGGGGAAGCACAAAGAGGUUAUGACUUCUCCAGCAUCACACAGAAAUGAUGAAAGGGACAGAACCAAUGAAGAAAGAAGUAAGCAGAAUCAGGAAAAUUUAUACAACAAUAAUACAGUAAAGGAACCCACUUUGAAAGACUUGGGAACUUCCAUCAAUGCGAUGACAAACCAUGAGUCCAGAGGACAGACAACAAAGCUUGCUAACUAUCUUUUGACAGAGGGCCAUGGGCUCAGGAAAUAAAAAAUGAGAUCUUUAUUUUUUUUUAAUGGACAUUUUGGUAAUUUGUUUUUCUUGAUUAUGUAUAUUUGUUUAAAAGGAUUUUGUUUUUCCUUCUCUUUACCAUGACACCUAGCAGCCCCUCUUUUUUUUUUUAAAUAAGAAAGUUCCUCUCUCUUUGCCUCUAUUUCUGAGCAGAAAGAUAAGAUACAAUGUGAUAGUGGAGAGGUUGCUGCAUUUCGAGUUGGAAGAUCUGAGUUUGAAUCCCUUGGAUAAGUCACUUGAUCUCUGGGCAUCUAUUUCAUCAUUUAUAAAUGAAGGGAAUACACUGGACAGUCAUUGAGGUCCUUUCUAGCUUGAAAUCUAGGAUCCUAUGAAUGCUGGCUUGAUGACACUUCCUGUGCUUACUGCACCAAAGUAGGCGAGCACUCCAAUAUUCAGUCACUAAAGGGAGACUAUUUUGAGAGAGAAAGAAAGAGAUUAUAUCUUAUAAACUUUGAAGAAAUAUCUGAGCUGGCAUAGAAGCUAUAUAUAUACCUGCAAACAAAAGUCUAUUUGAAAUAGACCUGAGUCUUGAAAAUAGGGUUUUAAUGGCUAAUGUAGAAUGUUGGUUUUUAUCAAAGAAGUGUCCUCUCUUCAUUAAAAAGGCACUAAUUCAGAAAAAUCUAUCGAAGUUAAGGCCUCUAUAGAAGCAAUUUGCCUUUCAGUGAACACUGAAAAGUUAACUUGUCCAAUAAAUUCUUUCUAAAUGACUUUUCUUAUACCUUU
rnacentral:lncRNA from 1 species